GUGUUGUACAUGUUUUUCUUUCUGCGUACCCUGAUGGAGCAGUUGCGACAAACCAUACCUCCUCGCCCAGACAUUUCCUUCUGAAAUACCUUAUCCAGUGUCCCUUAAUAUUUUUAAGACCUUAAGGCAUGAUUCGAACGAGAUUUCGGUUUUUUUUUCUAGCAAUUGUGGUGACCGCACUAAGACUCAAUCGCUGGCUGAAGUAUUUUAGGCUCUCCGUUUCCUGGUGCGGUGAAUAGAUUGUCACCUAAAUUACGUAAAAGUAAAAAUAACACCGACAUCUCAUUUCUACAGAUAUAUUUAUAAUAAAAUCGCCAUUGGCUUCAACCACGGCCUCCAGACGACUUUGGAAUUUCCUGCAACUCUUCUAUACUGUCUCAUUGUUUAAACUGUUCGAAUCCCGCCGAAGUCAACUUUACUGUUUAUUAUUUCGGAAUCGGUAAAUGAAAUAUCCAUCUCGCACUGUGUGUAUAUAAUCAAUUAACAAUCCGCCUGCCAAAUUUCCGGCGUUGUUUCAAUGUUAGAAAAUCACAGCAAAACAUCAACAACAAUAACAACCGCAUCAACAGUCGUAAUAAUAAUAAGAAGAAGAGCACUCAGAGAGCACAAAUCUCCUCCAA